GACGAACGCUGGCGGCGUGCUUAACACAUGCAAGUCGAACGGUAAGGCCCUUCGGGGUACACGAGUGGCGAACGGGUGAGUAACACGUGGGUGAUCUGCCCUGCACUUCGGGAUAAGCCUGGGAAACUGGGUCUAAUACCGGAUAGGACCACUGCCUGCAUGGGUGGUGGUGGAAAGCUUUUGCGGUGUGGGAUGGGCCCGGGGCCUAUCAGCUUGUUGGUGGGGUGAGGGACUACCAAGGCGCCGACGUGUAGCCGGCCUGGGAGGGUGACCGGCCACCAUGGGACUGAGAUACGGCCGCAACUCCUACGGGAGGCAGCAGUGGGGAAUAUUGCACAAUGGGCGCAAGCCUGAUGCAGCGACGCCGCGUGAGGGAUGACGGCCUUCGGGUGGUAAACCUCUUUCAGCACCGACGAAGCGCAAGUGACGGUAGGUGCAGAAGAAGGACCGGCCAACUACGUGCCAGCCGCCGCGGUAA
rnacentral:rRNA from 1 species